rnacentral:misc_RNA from 1 species
GAUGAAGAACGUAGCGAAAUGCGAUAAGUAAUGUGAAUUGCAGAAUUCAGUGAAUCAUCGAAUCUUUGAACGCACAUUGCGCCCCCUGGUAUUCCGGGGGGCAUGCCUGUUCGAGCGUCAUUUCACCACUCAAGCCUCGCUUGGUAUUGGGCAACGCGGUCCGCCGCGUGCCUCAAAUCGACCGGCUGGGUCUUCUGUCCCCUAAGCGUUGUGGAAACUAUUCGCUAAAGGGUGUUCGGGAGGCUACGCCGUAAAACAACCCCAUUUCUAAGGUUGACCUCGGAUCAGGUGGGAAUACCCGCUGAACUUAAGCAUAUCAAUAAGCGGAGGA